rnacentral:lncRNA from 1 species
AAAAAAAAAAAAAAAAAAAAAAAAAACUGGAUGUUAACUGAAAAAUCUGACCAAAUUUUGCUUUUAGAAACCUCAAGGACCAUUUUAACAGUUUACUUCAAUAUUUAUUUCAGAAGUCUCAAAUGACCUUGCCAAAAUAUGAAAUAAAGGAACUGUAUGAUUGGACUCUAUCUUCAUCAUCACUUUCAACAGAACCCUAAAUC